UAUUCAAACUUCGGACCCGGCCGGGUUUACAGUUCGGGCUUCUCGCCCACGCCGUCGAUCGGCGUUUGGGGCCGACUCGCAUUCUCAUUCCUCUGUCGCGUGGUUUUCAAGCGCGUUCGCGAUCGGCAAGAGGCAGCAGACGGCAAUGGAGUCGGUCGAGGUGCUGGUGGCGCACAUCCAGGGCUUGUUCAGGAGUUCCGACGAGGUUUCGCAACUGCACUCCCUUCUCAAGCAGUCCGAGGACGCUCUCCGUUCCCAUGCAGACCGACUCGUCCCCUUCCUCUCCCAGAUCGACCCUUCCAUCCACACCCUAGGCUACCUUUUCCUACUGGAAGCUUAUUCAUCUGAGUCAAUUUCAAGGGAGGAGACUUCUGGUUUUCUUUUGUCUGUUGUUGAAUUUAUCAACUCAUGCUCAACAGAACAGAUACGCCUUGCACCAGAAAAGUUCAUUUCUGUUUGUAAGAUUUUCAAGGAUCAGGUUAUGCAGCUUGGGGUUCCCAUGCAAGGAAUAGCUCCCAUGCGGAUGGCUAUCCGUAAACUUCAAACUUCCACAGAGCAAUUAACUACUUUACAUUCAGAUUAUCUUCUUCUGUGCCUUCUAGCAAAGUGCUAUAAAGCUGGACUAAGUAUUCUGGAUGAUGACAUCUUCGAGGUUGAUCACCUGAGAGAUCAUUUCCUCUAUUGUUAUUAUGGGGGAAUGAUAAACAUUGGAUUAAAGCGAUUUGAGAAAGCAUUGGAGUGCCUUCACAAUGCUGUUACUGCACCAAUGACCACUUUGAAUGCAAUUGCUGUUGAAGCUUACAAAAAGUAUAUUUUGGUUUCUCUCAUCCUUAAUGGACAGGUUCCAUCAUUCCCAAAGUAUACAUCUUCUGCUGCUCUCAGGAAUCUGAAGAGUUAUACUCAGCCUUAUGUAGAUCUUGCUAAUUCCUAUGCCAGAGGGAAAUCUUCUGAAUUAGAGGCGUGUGUCCAAACUAACCAGGAGAAAUUUCAAUCUGACAGCAAUCUUGGUUUAGUGAAACAAGUACUAUCUUCCCUGUACAAGCACAAUAUUCAGAGACUGACGCAAACUUACUUGACCCUGUCGCUCCAAGAUAUAGCAAAUGUUGCCCAACUGAACAGCCCUAAGGAAGCUGAGAUGCGUGUACUUCAGAUGAUCCAGGAUGGAGAGAUAUUUGCUACUAUUAACCAAAAGGAUGGAAUGGUGAGCUUUCAUGAGGAUCCUGAGCAAUACAAAACUUGUGGGAUGACAGAACAUAUUGAUUUUUCAAUCCAAAGGUUAAUGGUAUUGUCAAAGAAGCUGAGCUCCUUGGACGAACAUCUUUCAUGCGAUCCUACAUAUCUAUCAAAGGUGAGUCAAAGAUUGGUAAAGAACGACAGAGGUUUGAUUUUGAUGAGUUUGAUUCUGUUCCACACAAAUUCAUGUGAGCAUGAGCUGCAGUACCAGUGGCAGGGAAGUUUUCCGCAGCUAAUGCUUUAACUUUAUCGUGGGAAAUACUGCAGGCAGCGUGCUUAUCUUUUCAUAAGAAAGGGAUCUCCGAAUGGUGUUGUGCGACAUUGCCCUCAAACCAUUUUGAGCAGCAGCAUCAUGAUUGUUCUUGAGAAGAGAGUGACAAUGAGAAGGUGAUAGAGGAUACGAAGGCGGAGUGACUGAGAGGAGAAGAUGGAAUGCAAGCCUCACUGUCCAGGGCCGCUAUGCAUAAUAUUCAAUCAAAUCCUUUGAUUGUAAUGAGAUUAAGAAUUUUUGCUUGAAUAAAAAAACUGAGGUUGUUAUUGCUAUGUCCAAAUUAUGAAUUUUAGUUACGAGUUGUUUCAAAUUAAUUGCAUUUGCACAUUCUGAUAUUGGCGAUGUUCAUGACACUA